rnacentral:rRNA from 1 species
AUUGAACGCUGGCGGCAUGUCUUACACAUGCAAGUCGAACGGUAACAGGUCUUCGGAUGCUGACGAGUGGCGAACGGGUGAGUAAUACAUCGGAACGUGCCUAGUAGUGGGGGAUAACUACUCGAAAGAGUGGCUAAUACCGCAUGAGAUCUACGGAUGAAAGCAGGGGAUCGCAAGACCUUGUGCUACUAGAGCGGCCGAUGGCAGAUUAGGUAGUUGGUGGGAUAAAAGCUUACCAAGCCGACGAUCUGUAGCUGGUCUGAGAGGACGAUCAGCCACACUGGGACUGAGAAACGGCCCAGACUCCUACGGGAGGCAGCAGGGGGGAAUUUUGGACAAGGGGCGAAAGCCUGAUCCAGCAAUGCCGCGUGCAGGCUGAAGGCCUUCGGGUUGUAAACUGCUUUUGUACGGAACGAAAAGCCCCGGGUUAAUACCCUGGGGUCAUGACGGUACCGUAAGAAUAAGCACCGGCUAACUACGUGCCAGCCGCCACCGUAA